rnacentral:rRNA from 1 species
UACGGAGGAUCCAAGCGUUAUCCGGAAUCAUUGGGCGUAAAGAGCGUGUAGGCGGCCCGAUAAGUCCGCCGUGAAAGUCCAGGGCUCAACCCUGGAAUGCCGGUGGAAACUGUCGGGCUGGAGUCCGGAAGAGGCGAGUGGAAUUCCUGGUGUAGCGGUGAAAUGCGCAGAUAUCAGGAGGAACACCUAUUGCGAAGGCAGCUCGCUGGGACGUAACUGACGCUGAGACGCGAAAGCGUGGGGAGCAAACAGG